CCCUUAGAUGUUCUGGGCCGCACGCGCGCUACACUGACUAGUUCAACGAGUUCCACCUAGGCUGAGAAGCCCCGGUAAUCUUUUAAACGCUAGUCGUGAUGGGGAUAGAUUAUUGCAAUUAUUAAUCUUCAACGAGGAAUUCCUAGUAAACGCAAGUCAUCAGCUUGCAUUGAUUACGUCCCUGCCCUUUGUACACACCGCCCGUCGCACCUACCGAUUGAAUGGUCCGGUGAAAUCUCUGGACCGCGGCUUUGUCUGGUUUCGGUCAGACGCUGUUGCGGGAAGUUGAUUAAACCUUACCAUUUAGAGGAAGGUGAAGUCGUAACA
rnacentral:rRNA from 1 species